rfam:Helianthus annuus linkage group 8, whole genome shotgun sequence.
GAGCUGUGAUGACAAGCCUCUCAUGAUGGUUGGGUCUAUCAUAACAACUUCUUAUUGAAGAAAUAACAGGCCUUUCUGAGCUC